UCUCUCUCUCUCUCUCUCUCUGUCUGUCUCUCUCUCUCCAGCCAGCACUCACUCACAUUCUCUAAAAACCUCCGUUCAACUCCCGAUCGCCUCCCAGCUGUCAGAAUCCAGAGCAUGCAUUGGAUCUCCUCUCUGAUCGCCUCCCAGCCGUUGGUUGCUAAUCUUCGCCGCACCGCCACCGGAGACCCUCCUGUCAUUCUCUGGUUGCUGAUCUUCGCCCCAAUCAAAUUGGUGUUGAAAGUUCCAUUCAAAUUGGUGUUCUUUAACCUUUCAAACCUACUAUUAGUGAUUCAAUCCCUCAUUCGUUGCCCUAAUCCGCUUCCCCAAAUCGAGGUAUCUAACUUCUGAGUUCUUGUUCUACAGAGAGCCUGUUUUCUUCGCUUCUCAUCAAUCUAGGGUUUGUUAGGUUUUUGAGCUCUGGAUCAAAAAUUCCUUGCUGGAUAGUUGUUCAACUUGUUUCUGUUUGCUUGAAUUAUGGUCACAAUUCUUGUCACAAAUAUUAGCUCCUAAAUCAGGUAUUUGAUUUAUUGGCAUAGUCUUGAAGCAUAUGGAAACUUAAAGAGUUCAGCAGUAGUGUUGAGGGCAAAGGCUGGUGCACUUGAUAAACUGGAGGCAUUUACAAGUUUUCAAUGGGCCAGAUUUUUACGGUCUUCCAAGAAACUUAUCAAAGAUAAACCUAAGAAAGAAUCCAUGGAGAGUACCAGACUCAUAUUCAUUUGCAUCUGGAGAAAUAAUUCCCAUGUUUGCAGGCUGGAGACUUUGAAAAAGCUUUAGAUGACUUUACUCAAACAGUGCUGUUUGAUCCUGAAAAUGGACAUGCUUGGAACAAUAUUGCCUGCUUGCACUUGAAGAAGAAGACAAAAAAAGCUUACAUCGCUUUCAAUGAAGCACUGAAAUUCAGGAGGAAUUGCUGGGAGCUUUGGGCAAAUUAUAGCAAGGUUGCUUUUGACAUAGGUAACAUCGGGUAGGUAUUUCUUCUUUUUUCAUUCCAAACUUACACAUGAAUAAUCUGUUUAUUGCUUUCUUUUUUGCUUGCUAUCUAAGUAGAAGGGUGUGUGAACUAAUUAUAAACUAUGCCAUACAUGAGGGGUAAUUUGCAUCGUUUAGAGGAUGCAAUUUGCUUGACCAACAAAAGUGCUCCUUGAUUUAUUGAGAAGAGUUUCAGAUACAUUUUCUUUAUAAUGGUGUGAUGUUCUUUCUGUCACUUGUUUAUUCUCUUUUUGCAUCCAGAUAAAUCGUUAGUUUAUAACAUGGGUAUCUCAUCAUUGUUUGUGCUUGUGUUGUAGUUUAUCACUGUACUUUCUGUAUUGGCAAAAUUGUCUUAUGUCUUCAACAAGCAUUUUUUUUAAUGUCCUAAUUGUUGUUAAUCCAAGCCUUUCAUGUUUCCUUGCCAUGGCUUUGUUCAUGUGUUUCUCUCAUGUUCUUUUUUAUCCUAAUAUAAGUUUUCCUGUCCACAACCCAUAAGAAUAUGUGGGGAAAUCUAUAAGAAUGUUUUUGACAGUUAGGUUAUUUUGUAAAAGAUUUCACUUCUAAAUCUGUUAAACCCUUGAUUUGAAUAUAUUGUGCUUCUCGUUCAAACUAUUCUAACCAUAUGCUCUCUUUGGAAUUGUAAGUAUAAAUUCUGCAGUAGUUAUUUAUUUUUUUUUUUUUACAUUCAGACCUGGAGGCUGUAAGGAGGCAUUAUGUGUAUGAAAUGUGCCUGGGAAUAGUGAGCUUGUUGGUUGGUUAAUCAGUCACAUUUUAAUUCAUUAAAUGGGUAAAAAAAAAUGAAUAUCUUUAUAGAAAUUAUAUGACUAUUUGAAAGACUGGUCACUUGAGUUUAUUCAUGCUAAAGCAUUAAUAACUUUGUAAGGCAGUUUAAUUUCACAAGGCUGAAAAAUUAGUUAUUAUGAGUUUAUAAUUUUUACGGGUAUUAGGCAAGAUGAAUUUGGGUUCACUCUUGUAAAUUUUUCUCACCUACCAUAUGUAGGGCCAUAUAUCUGUAAGUUUGUUAACAAGUUAGAAAGCAUAAUCAGCAAUGGACCAAUGUUUUAGUGGGAACUUACGUCAUGAAAUUCAUUCGGUGUGGCAACACAAGUAGCACUAAUGAUAAUUUUUGCAUUUCUUAACAACUCUGUGUUGAGCUUUCUCCACUUCCCGAGGAAUGCCCGUAGGAACUUCCCUCUAAACAUGUAUAUUUCAGAUAAGGAAAAAGAAGGUUGAAUUUGAAAGAACAAAUUAAAGGGAUAGGUGCUGUGUGAUGGCCAGUCUUUGUGCUUUUUUUAUAUUGUUGGAUGGAGUGAUAAGCUGCAGAAUUGGAACAUUAAAUGGAUAAUAUGGAGGAUUAACUUUAUUUUACCAUUCUUUUUAUCUCGCUGAUCUCUGUAGGGCCUGCCCAUACAAAUCCACAGUUGUGUUUCAAUAAUUUUAGAUAAAAAGUUUGGCAGUAGUAAUCUCAAUACAUUACACAGCACAACAGUGAAUUUCUUUGAUUAUUAGUCAUUAAGAAAAUGUCACAAAGAAAUCAAUGACCGUGAGAUAUCUAGUUUGGCCAAUGUUUUUUUUUCUCUUACUUUUCCUUUUUCUUCAAAAAAUAGUUAUGAUGAGGUGCAUGAGAAUAAGUACAGUUCUGUGCCGCCAAGUGGUGUGUUAUGAUCAGCUUGGGAAAGGUAAUCAUUUGCUUUUGUUUUGAUUGAUUAUGUGAGUAGGUAUUGUCUUAACAACUUGGCGAAUGUGAAAGCUUGUUCUAAGUCAAUGGUUUUGGGGCUUACAUUGCCUUAUCACUGACAUCUAUAUGUACUAUUUGCUGUAAUCAUGAAAUCGAACCUACGUCCUUUACAAUGCCAUCUCUAUUUUAAAAAAUAUCUGUGUGAUAUUAUUUUGCCAUCCCUAGUAUGUAUCUAGAUUUAAAAUUUUUGUGUUACAAACUUGUGGUCUGUUACAAUGCUUGUCUAAACAAUAAUGUAGUUAUUUCUCACUGAUUCAUUAAUUUGUGGUUAAUGCUCUUUCAUAUAAGAAAUAGAUCAAAACAUAGUUGUAGGUAUAUAUAGGAAUUGAUAUAAUACAUAGUGCCAUAACAAUGAGUAACAUUAGCUCAUUACGUAAAUUCUUUUUGUGCUAUGGAAUGGGUUUAUUGUGUAGCAUUUGCUUGAGUUUAAACUGACAACAUUGAUGAACUGCAACAAUCUAAUCAAACAGUUUCUAUACACACCAUGUGAUAUGGAAAGUCGUAAUAGAAUAUUAGAGUUGUUUGAUGGCUAAGAUUUCCAUUAUGAACUAUCAAAGCGCUGACGAAGGUACUUUGUAUUGAGUCCAGACUCACAGAUCAGCGCAGGCCGGUUCAUGCUACCUGGAUAAACAUGAACAAGAAUUACUAAUAAUAACGGAAGUGAAGAAUGUAGUUGUUAUAUUCAAGACCAAUUGUGCUUUUAUAUGAACCCUUAAAUAACUUGGUCAUAGCAUAAGUUUAUACGAACACUAAUUAUUCAUCUAGUUUGCAUGUAGACUGAUUUAAUUUGGUAUGUCAAGAGUUAUCAUAAAGUUUCAAAUUUACAAUGUCUGCACAUUAACUCUAACUGACCUCCUAAUACCAUAAUUAUCUUAUUUAAAUCUCAAGUUAUCAUUUCCAUGUACAAGUAAAAAAAGAAUUAAUAUAAACCUUUCAAAAGCUUGUCAACAUUGAAUAGGGUUAUGGAAACAGAGCCAUUGAGACUGAAAAGAGUUUCAGUCUCAAUGGCUCUGUUAUGUAUAUUAAGUUCACAUCGACAUUAAACUUCAAAUAUUCAUGUUUCACAAAAAUCCAAGCUUUGCAAGUCAUUUAGUAGGUUAUGCUUGGACAUAUGAAAUGCAUUAGUAUUUGCAAGUGAAUGGAUGGAACCACUAUAAGCAGAGAAAAUAAAAUAAGACUGAACUGAAGUUUAAAAAUGAAUUUUCAUACUUGACAAUUUUAUUGAGAACCAAAAGUCAAUCACUAGCAAAACCUUAAUUUUUGGACUUAGCAUGUAAAAGUCUUCAGAUACUUUCUAUAGCAGCUAUGCCUGAUAUGACUAAGUGGAGUGAAUGUGUAUGCCUCACAACAUAAGUUAUUGAGAAAUUUUAACCUUGUACUUGCAUGUAUAUGCCUACCAAACUUAAAUCUGCC